rnacentral:rRNA from 1 species
CUGCUGCCUCCCGUAGGAGUCUGGUCCGUGUCUCAGUACCAGUGUGGGGGACCUUCCUCUCAGAACCCCUACGCAUCGUCGGUUAGGUGGGCCGUUACCCCGCCUACUGCCUAAUGCGCCGCAUGCCCAUCCCUGUCCGGCCGAAGCCUUUCCUGCCUCCGGGAUGCCCCGGUGGCAUGUACGCGGGUUUAGCCCGCUUUCGGCGGGUUGUCCCCCUGACAGGGGCAGGUUGCAUACGUGUUACUCACCCGUGCGCCGGUCGCCGGCGGAGAAAG